AGGACGAACGCUGGCGGCGUGCUUAACACAUGCAAGUCGAGCGGUAAGGCCUUUCGGGGUACACGAGCGGCGAACGGGUGAGUAACACGUGGGUGAUCUGCCCUGCACUUCGGGAUAAGCCUGGGAAACUGGGUCUAAUACCGGAUAUGACCUCCGAUCGCAUGGUUGGUGGUGGAAAGAUUUAUCGGUGCAGGAUGGGCCCGCGGCCUAUCAGCUUGUUGGUGGGGUAAUGGCCUACCAAGGCGACGACGGGUAGCCGACCUGAGAGGGUGACCGGCCACGACUGGGACUGAGACACGGCCCAGACUCCUACGGGAGGCAGCAGUGGGAAUAGUGCACAAUGGGCAAAGCCUGAUGCAGCGACGCCGCGUGAGGAUGACGGCCUUCGGGGUUCGUAAACCGUCUUUACCGAGUCGAGGACGAAGCGCAAGUGACGGUACCUGCAAGAAGAAGCACCGCUAACUACGUGCCAGCA
rnacentral:rRNA from 1 species